rnacentral:rRNA from 1 species
ACGUCUAGGCGGAUUGAGAGGUUGACCGCCAACACUGGGACUGAGACACUGCCCAGACUCCUACGGGAGGCUGCAGUCGAGAAUCAUUCGCAAUGGGCGAAAGCCUGACGAUGCGACGCCGUGUGAACGAAGAAGGCCUUCGGGUUGUAAAGUUCUUUCGCCAGGGAACAAGGGACAGUGACGAAUAAUCAUUGGACUUGAGGGUACCUGGAAAAGAAGCACCGGCUAACUCCGUGCCAGCAGCUGCGGUAAUACGGAGGGUGCAAGCGUUAAUCGGAUUCAUUGGGCGUAGGGGGCGUAGGCUGGAAUGCCAGUCAGUUGUGAAAUACCAGUGCUCAACAUUGGUGCUGCAAUUGAUACUGCAUUUCUUGAGGAUAGGCGGAGAAAAUGGAAUUUCAUGUGUAGCGGUGAAAUGCGUAGAUACAUGGAGGAACACCGGUGGCGAAAGCGGUUUUCUAGCUUAUCCCUGACGCUGAGGCCCGAAAGCUAGGGGAGCAAACAGGAUUAGAUGCCCUGGUAGUCCUAGCCGUAAACGAUGUAUACUUGGUGUAGCUGGUCUCAACCCCAGCUGUGCCGGAGCUAACGCGUUAAGUAUACCGCCUGGGGAGUACGCGCGCAAGCGUUAAACUCAAAAGAAUUGACGGGGGCCCGCACAAGCAGUGGAGCAUGUGGUUUAAUUCGAUGCAACGCGAAGAACCUUACCCAGGUUUGACAUGCAGAGGCCGACAGCAGAGAUGUUGUUUUCCGUAAGGACCUCUGCACAGGUGCUGCAUGGCUGUCGUCAGCUCGUGCCGUGAGGUGUUGGGUUAAGUCCCGCAACGAGCGCAACCCUUAUCAUUAGUUGCCAGCGAGUAAUGUCGGGAACUCUAGUGAGACUGCCUCGGUUAACGAGGAGGAAGGUGAGGAUGAGGUCAAGUCAGCAUGGCCCUUAUGCCUGGGGCUACACACGUGCUACAAUGGUCGGCGCAAUAGGAAGCGAUACCGCGAGGUGGAGCAAAUCCAGAAAGCCGGCCCUAGUUCGGAUUGGAGUCUGCAACUCGACUCCAUGAAGUUGGAAUUGCUAGUAAUGGCGCGUCUGCAAUAGCGCCGUGAAUACGUUCCCGGGCCUUGUACACACCGCCCGUCACAUCAUGGAAGUUGGUUUUGCCCGAAGUCGCCGCCUCAACCGCAAGGAGAGAGGCGCCGAAGGUAAGGCUGAUGACUAGGAUGAAGUCGUAACAAGGUA